AAAAACUAUUAGAAAAGCUUUCGCUCUUAGUCUAAGCUUUUGAGAGCGUACAUUACCGAAGCCAACGUUUGCCUAGCUCUGCUGUCCACAGGUGGCCCUUGACUCCGUUUUGUAUGGGUGGGGUGGUCGCAUACCCUCCAAUUCUAAUCGGCUUAGGCACGUGCCAUUGACUUCCCUGCCAUAUAGGCGCAAUCCGAAUACGUUCGUUUUGUGCCUGCACAGCAUACGAAUUAUUUGGGCAGCUGUCGCACACCUUAGACCCCCCUGCAGCUACGCCCCUGUUCCUGUUCCUGCACUCUACUCUCUCUUUCUCUUUGGAGGCGCUCUCUUGGCGCCAGCUUUCGCUCAGUACAGUUUUGGCGCGCACUAAAACGUGCACUGGUGCCGGCAGAGAGCAUACUACACGGGGAAUCCGCGCUCAGUAUUCUUUUUGAACGCAAAUCGUGCGGUCCACUCUCUCCGGUAUCCGCUAUCCGCAGUCCGCUAUUCGGUCGGAGCCAGAAUAAACGGCAACGGACACGGGAAUAAUCACGGAAAACGGCACAUCAACAAAAAAACUAAUCAAGUUUUGCAAAUAAAAAAUAAUAAACAAAUAAAGCAGAAGCAGCAACUGCACAACAACAACAAAAUAGAAGAGAAAGAGCCAACACAGAAAACACAGAUAGUGGACUGCAAUUGCGGAAUUAUGAAAGAAUUGGAAAGAGAAAGAAAUGAAUGAGAGCUUAAGAGCCAACAAAAGAGAGAGGCCAUCACCUGAAAGAGAG